rnacentral:rRNA from 1 species
GACGAAGGUGGCAAGCGUUGUUCGGAUUCACUGGGCGUACAGGGUGUGUAGGCGGUUUGGUAAGCCUUCUGUUAAAGCUUCGGGCCCAACCCGGAAAGCGCAGAGGGUACUGCCAGGCUAGAGGACGGGAGAGGAGCGCGGAAUUCCCGGUGUAGCGGUGAAAUGCGUAGAGAUCGGGAGGAAGGCCGGUGGCGAAGGCGGCGCUCUGGAACGUUACUGACGCUGAGACACGAAAGCGUGGGGAGCAAACAGG